UACGUAGGGGGCAAGCGUUGUUCGGAAUUACUGGGCGUAAAGGGCGCGUAGGUGGCCUUCUAAGUUGAACGUGAAAUCCCUGGGCUCAACCCAGGAACUGCGUCCAAGACUGGGAGGCUUGAAUCCGGGAGAGGGAUGCGGAAUUCCAGGUGUAGCGGUGAAAUGCGUAGAUAUCUGGAGGAACACCGGUGGCGAAGGCGGCAUCCUGGACCAACACUGACGCUGAGUGAGCGAAAGCCAGGGGAGCAAACGGG
rnacentral:rRNA from 1 species